GAGAUAAGGUAAAUAGGUGCUCUAGAGAUA
rnacentral:piRNA from 1 species